CAAAGCCAGUCGAGCUCCGUGUGAGGUCGAGUUUGGAAAAUGAGAGCAGUGGCACUGAGGAUUCUGGUCACUCAUCAUCAAAACCUCUGAAGAGAACACUUUGAGGAAAAUGGUUUGGAAAAAGAUCCAACAAGGAGCUCUCACGAUAUUUCUCUGACCGGCCUUAUCAUCAACAAGGCAUUGUUAAAGAAAGGUGCAAAGUAUUCAAAAUCUCAGUGCUCUUGCUGAUCACUUUUCAUGCCAGCUACUUCUGAAGUUACCCAACAAACUGUCGAGUACAUCAGAAAGACAAGAACUCAACUUCAAG